UUGAAAUAAUGAUGAGCAUAAAGGAAAUUUGGAAAUAUAGAAUAAAUAACAUAUUUUUGUAUCCAAAUGUUAUAUUCAACCUUUCUACUACAAAAUGGAAACAGCAAAAACAAUUAAAUUCUAUCACUUUGCUUAUAGAUGAGAUAAAGCAGAAGAAACAUAUAUUGGAUAAAUCUGAGGCAACCAAAUCCAACAAUAACACAUUUCG